UCUCUCUCUCUCUCUCAACUAAAAAUUAUAGAGGUCAUUCUUAAGUAUAUAUACCAUCUGUUUACAUAAAUAUGUGGUGUUUUUAAUUUUAUAGGAUGCCUGGCGACGGUCCUAAACAGUAUCCCUGUGUUUCUUGUGGUAAGCGACCUAAAGCCCACCAACGACGCUUUAUAAAAGGACCAUCAUACCAACUCUUUCGUCAACAUUUAGGCCUAGCAAUCUGUGAAGACAAUGAUGUUACAUGUACAAACUGUUAUUCAAAAUUCCACAAGUCAAUACAUAAGAACCAUUUUGAGAAAUCUAUAGAAACAGAUGAUGACACUAUCAAAGAUCAAGAUUAUGAACCACCAGCAAAGUCCUCUAAAUCAGAUACUAAAUCAGUCAAAAGUCCUAAUGUAAUACCUUUACCCAUAUUAUCUUCUGGAAAGAGCCACUCAGCUUGUGUGAUCUGCAAGAAGAGAAAUUCAAGAUUGCUUACAUUGACCACAGAGAGAAGACACCACAUCUUUGUAUUGACAGGGCACCUGUUAUUAUCUGGUGCAAGGUGCUGCAACUCUCAUUUGAUGCCAGAUUGUUCUCUCAAAGAUGAUGCCAUUAAAUGUCUGGAGAGUGGAAUGGGAUCUAUGGGAAUGAACCCAAUGGCAGCCAUGCUUUGCGGACUCGGUGGAAUGGUCAAAAGAUCAACACUAAAAACCAACACCGCCGACGGUGGGCGUUCCAGAAGACGAAAUACGGAUUUCACCGUCGGUGGAAGGAGGGACCCGGUUCGUGUUGACCUUUUCUCCGACACUUUCACGCCGGUUAAGAGUCACAUCACCGGUAACUCUGUCGCUAUUGGUACCAGUGGAUCGGUCAAGGACGCCGUCUCUCAGAAAGAAAAGGCGUUUGACAUUAACUACAAUUAUAUGUUCCAUAAACAAAGAACUGUUAACCCACCCCCGUCUCGAUCCUCAGCUAUGCUUAUUAACCCACUAGUAUCUUUAAAAUGUGGUCAUAUUAUUGCGUUCUGUCCUCUGGCAAUUCCACCACCGGAUCCGUUUAAAUCUGCAAGAUCCAAAACAGAAAACAUUCGUCAAUUCAAUUAUCAGGAGCCUAGAAAUUCAAACACAAUGAAGAAUGCUCCUUUGGAUAUAACUUUCCAGACGAAAAAUACCCAAUCGGCCACAAACACAUUAGAGAAGACCCUUCCUUCUGCAUCAUCAAAUAAACAGGUCGGAAGCGCCUCACCUUGGAACACACCAGCGGCAGUUCAAAAUAACCUUAACGCCUGGCCUGGUUCGAACCUGGUACCAACAACCACAGUUUCCCCACCAACUGUCACCAGCGUGCCACAAAUUGCCACAACAGAUUCCUUUUUUGGGCUGACGCCCCAUGACGCAGCCGGGCAGAUGUCACACAUGGGCUUCCUACAGAACCCUAUGCCCACACAGACACAGGCGGGUUUCGGUUCAACUGGAAUGAACAACAUGUUUGACAUGGGCAUGGGAAGCUUUGGGCUAGGAGGCCUGGGGCUCGGUGCGGAUUCUGUAGAUCCCAUGUCAACAGUCCAAAAUGGCGCCAAUAUGUUUCCAACCUCGGGAAUUUCAGGUCAAACAACAAUGAUGCACGGAGUCGGGAGCGUUGGUGGUUCUGGUAAUAUGGGAGGGUUUGGUCCCGCAGCUAUAGGAUCUACAGCUGGUGCAGCAGGAGGACCCAGCCAAUUUAACCAAAUGUUAUCAAAUGGAGCUAACACAGACAUGUUGUUUGCCAGCAUUGCUGAUAUUAUGGGCGGAACUUCGACGAGUGCUGGUAGCCAGGAUGCCUAUGGACAUCAAAAUGAAGGCAAUAGCCAUGAGGCAAAGAGCACAAAUGAAGAUGGCGUCUCGAAUGUCAAUGAUGGGAUCUAUGGGAACAAUGGGGAUAGGAGCACGAGCGUUGCCAGGAAUGAAGUAGUUCAGAAGAUGAUGAUCCUCUGUUCCAGUCGUUAUUUUUGCUAAUUUUAAUUCAAUUUGUUCGCUUUAUCAUAUACACAUGUAUUCACAUUUCAUCAAGCGUAUAGUCGCGUGUUGCUCCAAGGGGGAGAUAAUCCGUGCUGACAAUGAUUUACACAUAUUAAAUUAUCUUAAGUGAAAAAAACCCCACAACAACACUGUUAUGGUGCUCCCUUAACAACCACAGAACGUCACUAGAGAGAGUCGAUAUCCUGUAAUAAUGAAACCGUAUCGGUUUUGAUUUGAAUUUCAUCUUUAUAAUAAUAGAAAAUAAAAGAUUUGUAGUUAUCUCCCUUGCCAACACGAGUUCUGUAGUACGUACAACAGGCUCAUUCUCUUAACUGUAACAGUUCAGACGCUUCCGUCUUGUGUUGAGUGUUGUUCUAUUUAUAAUAAAACUGUGUACAAACA
rnacentral:sRNA from 1 species